UUCAGAGAUGAAUUGGUGCCUUCGGGAAUGUAGAUACAGGUGCUGCAUGGCUGUCGUCAGCUCGUGUCGUUAGAUGUUCCGUUAAGUCGGAUUACGAGCGCAACCCUUACCCUUAUUUGCCAGCGAUUCGGUCGGGAACUAUAAGGGGACUGCCGGUGAUAAACCGGAGGAAGGUGAGGACGACGUCAAGUCAUCAUGGCCCUUACGAGUAGGGCUACACACGUGCUACAAUGGGGAAUACAGACGGACGCUAAGCCGCGAGGUGGUGCUAAUCCUAGAAAGUUUCUCGUAGUCCGGAUUGGAGUCUGCAACUCGACUCCAUGAAGUCGGAAUCGCUAGUAAUCGCGGAUCAGCAUGCCGCGGUGAAUACGUUCUCGGGUCUUGUACACACCGCCCGUCACACCAUGGAAGUGGAUUGCACCAGAAGUAGAUAGUCUAACCUUCGGGAGGGCGUUUACCACGGUGUGCUUCAUGACUGGGGUGAAGUCGUAACAAGGUAACC
rnacentral:rRNA from 1 species